rfam:Dipodomys ordii contig_5212, whole genome shotgun sequence.
GGGAAUGUGGCUUAGUGUAGAGCGCUUGCCUAGCAGGCAUGAAGCCCUGGGUUCAAUUCCUCAGUACCA